CCAGGGCGGACCCGAGUGAGCUGGGACGGGCCUCCCCCACCGCCCCGGGACUUGCCCAAGGCCCAGGGCGGGGCUGGCGGGAAGUCCCCACACGGGAGCUGAGGGUGGGCUCCUCCCGGAACUGUGGAGACCGCGGGGCCGCUCCCGGAGGGCCGAAGCGGUGGCGGGCGGGGCCGCUGGUCUGGCCCAAGUGGCCAGACUUCAGAGGAAACUGAACCUGGCUCCCUUUCUCCAGAAGCCUCGAAAGAGGCCAGAGCACCUUGCAGGAAGCCCAUUUCCCCCCGGAAGGAGGGUCUGGACCUUCUGCCGCCGGGUCCGCCCCGCCCCCAGCUCUGGGCCGGGCCGAAAGCGCUGAGCCCCUUCAAGUCUGGCUUUUCAUCCUGCCCCCUUCGCUCCGCCGGGGCCUCCCUUCGGUGAACUUCCCGGCCCCGCCGCCCUCGCCCUUCCCUCCCCGAGGGGCCUCUGCCACGCCGGUCUCCACACGCUGUCGACCGCCUGAUGUGUGGAGAUCCGCCUGCCGCCGGAGCACUCUGCUCACCGCUGUGAUGCGAAAACUGAUUUAAAAGGAAAAUAACUUCAUUCUUGAUUUUUCUAUUUACAAAUGGACAUUUCUGGAGAGUGGUCGUAAACUGGGAUGGGGGUUGAAUGGCGAUUGAUACUUUUAGUCUGGUGGGUUUUCAGUUUCGCUGAUAUUUGGAGCCAUUUGAUUCAGCAUCUUGGUUGGGCGAGAAGAACAUAGAAGGAACAGAGGAAACAAGCAGGUGGACAGGGAGGUGUGUUCCCAUCUGACUGGGAAUAGAUCAUUUCAGUUACCCUUGGAGAGGACAGAAGCUAAAGAAGUUAUGAAAAGAUCAGGUGAGAGAGUUCCUUGCUGCUCAGGAAACAGAGCCUGAGAGAAUGGAUCUCAGAUAUUUUGAGAAAGGGGCUGGCCUGCUCACCUGUAACUUGGGUAGAAUAUUCUAGAAGCAUGAAGUCCUCAUGUUCUGUGUCCUGGUUUUGGAUCUCCGUUCAAAUGUUUAAUAUAAAUAGUCCACUCAUCUGUCUCCCAAAAGAUGCAUAGGCAAUGUGCUAACAUUGAAAAGAAAAAGAAAUAAGGGCCCAGAUGCUCAAGUGAACCGAAUCAUGGUAUCAGCACUAUGGAAUUAAGAUAACUUAUAAAUCACGUUAUGCAAGACAAUUAAAAAGAUGAAAUCGGAGUUCCCGUCGUGGCGCAGUGGUUAACGAAU